ACCAGACAUCACCAUAAAUAAUUUUUUGUAGAAAUAAGUUGAAGGUCCUGCUACAUUAAGGGGAAUCUAUUUGCAGAAUAAGCGUGUAGAGAGGACCCCUUAAGAGAAGCUUCCAGAAUUCCAUUAUCUCAACUGUCACUCGCCACCGGAUUUGUCUUGGCGCUGUGUGUUUUCAUGAAUUACUUGAGCUGUUUGUUUUUCCUUUAUCAGCCAUCACCCUGUCAGCCAGGCCAUUCAUAACAACUUUUGGCAGCUCAUCAGGGGAGUUCAGAGGCUGAGUAGGACCCUAUCAACUCACACACCUCAUUGUGUGAAACUGUUUACCGGCACGGCCUCUUCUGCAUAAGGACAGGAGCUUGGGUCUCCAAGACCGACAUAAAAGCCCAACAGACCUGACAACUCCCCCACAAUUCCUGCACCGGAGACAGAAAGAAUCCUGCAAUAGGAAGAGAACGCUGGGGCAUCAUUUACUGCAUGAAAGACAACCCCAGUGGGCACCAAAGCAUGCCAGUGUCUCAUUAAAGAACAAUGAGAAAGCAA